UGCAGUCGAGCGAACAGACGAGGAGCUUGCUCCUCUGACGUUAGCGGCGGACGGGUGAGUAACACGUGGAUAACCUACCUAUAAGACUGGGAUAACUUCGGGAAACCGGAGCUAAUACCGGAUAAUAUAUUGAACCGCAUGGUUCAAUAGUGAAAGACGGUUUUGCUGUCACUUAUAGAUGGAUCCGCGCCGCAUUAGCUAGUUGGUAAGGUAACGGCUUACCAAGGCAACGAUGCGUAGCCGACCUGAGAGGGUGAUCGGCCACACUGGAACUGAGACACGGUCCAGACUCCUACGGGAGGCAGCAGUAGGGAAUCUUCCGCAAUGGGCGAAAGCCUGACGGAGCAACGCCGCGUGAGUGAUGAAGGUCUUCGGAUCGUAAAACUCUGUUAUUAGGGAAGAACAAAUGUGUAAGUAACUAUGCACGUCUUGACGGUACCUAAUCAGAAAGCCACGGCUAACUACGUGCCAGCAGCCGCGGUAAUACGUAGGUGGCAAGCGUUAUCCGGAAUUAUUGGGCGUAAAGCGCGCGUAGGCGGUUUUUUAAGUCUGAUGUGAAAGCCCACGGCUCAACCGUGGAGGGUCAUUGGAAACUGGAAAACUUGAGUGCAGAAGAGGAAAGUGGAAUUCCAUGUGUAGCGGUGAAAUGCGCAGAGAUAUGGAGGAACACCAGUGGCGAAGGCGACUUUCUGGUCUGUAACUGACGCUGAUGUGCGAAAGCGUGGGGAUCAAACAGGAUUAGAUACCCUGGUAGUCCACGCCGUAAACGAUGAGUGCUAAGUGUUAGGGGGUUUCCGCCCCUUAGUGCUGCAGCUAACGCAUUAAGCACUCCGCCUGGGGAGUACGACCGCAAGGUUGAAACUCAAAGGAAUUGACGGGGACCCGCACAAGCGGUGGAGCAUGUGGUUUAAUUCGAAGCAACGCGAAGAACCUUACCAAAUCUUGACAUCCUCUGACCCCUCUAGAGAUAGAGUUUUCCCCUUCGGGGGACAGAGUGACAGGUGGUGCAUGGUUGUCGUCAGCUCGUGUCGUGAGAUGUUGGGUUAAGUCCCGCAACGAGCGCAACCCUUAAGCUUAGUUGCCAUCAUUAAGUUGGGCACUCUAAGUUGACUGCCGGUGACAAACCGGAGGAAGGUGGGGAUGACGUCAAAUCAUCAUGCCCCUUAUGAUUUGGGCUACACACGUGCUACAAUGGACAAUACAAAGGGUAGCGAAACCGCGAGGUCAAGCAAAUCCCAUAAAGUUGUUCUCAGUUCGGAU
rnacentral:rRNA from 1 species